GGAGUGAACGCUGGCGGUAGGCCUAACACAUGCAAGUCGAACGGCAGCACGGUAAGAGCUUGCUCUUAUGGGUGGCGAGUGGCGGACGGGUGAGGAAUACAUCGGAAUCUACCUUUUGGUGGGGGAUAACGUAGGGAAACUUACGCUAAUACCGCAUACGCCCUUCGGGGGAAAGCCGGGGACCAGCAAUGGCCUGGCGCUGAUAGAUGAGCCGAUGUCGGAUUAGCUAGUUGGUGAGGUAAUGGCUCACCAAGGCGACGAUCCGUAGCUGGUCUGAGAGGAUGAUCAGCCACACUGGAACUGAGACACGGUCCAGACCUCCGUACGGGAGCCAGCGAGGUGGGGAAAUAGUUGGAACAAGUGGGGCGACGAAGCCUGGACU
rnacentral:rRNA from 1 species